GGGGUCGACUGGAAUUGACAGUAUGAUAAAUUUUAUUUUUGCAUGUCGGGUGAAUGUAACAUCCGUAAUCAAAUACUAAAUACUUUAAACGGCGAACGUAAAUACGAAUACGCUAUGGCGGUUUAAAUUCUAAGAAUUUGAAUUGCCACAUCAUAAUUUAAUUGGUGAUCUUCGAUUAAUUAAUAUGGUGUCAUAAGGAGAUCUACUAUAUGUAUUAACCUACAGUUAUGUAUAGGAAAUUUCAGUAGGUAAGGGUAGAAGUUGGUUGAUAUUUUCCUGCUCUAUCUCGAAAAUUAAAUAUUAUCUAAGCAUGUAGACGAAAUACGGUUUCCAUAGCUGGACGCGGGUUCGAAUCCCGCCGACUCCACA
rnacentral:tmRNA from 1 species